rnacentral:rRNA from 1 species
AUGUCGCCGCCAAGUUCGCCGGAGGAACAAGAACGCCCGCCGAGUCCUGUGGUGGCUACACGAGGGGCCCUUAAGAUGAGUGAUGAACAUCCGUUGAGCCGUCCAAUGUUGCCUGUGGCAACUACACCGGAGCCGUCGUCUCCUUUGACUUCACCGCCAUCAUCUCCGUCGACUUCGCCACAAGACAAUCUGCCACCACCUCCGCCGAUUUUGCCGGAAGACCAUCAGCCGUCACCUAGACCUACUUUGGUUCAGAACAUUGAGGAGGACUUUGAUAACCGACCUUCAAAAAAAGCAAAAAUUUCUGAAUCAAGUGUUCUGGAGCCAUCACCUAUGUCAACAUGUACUCCAGUUUCUGAGUGUUUUGAAUCGAUUGUGCCAAAAUCAGAUAAUUAG